AACGAACGCUGGCGGCAUGCCUAACACAUGCAAGUCGAACGAGACCUUCGGGUCUAGUGGCGCACGGGUGCGUAACGCGUGGGAACCUGCCCUUAGGUUCGGAAUAACUCCCCGAAAGGGGUGCUAAUACCGGAUAAUGUCUUCGGACCAAAGAUUUAUCGCCUUUGGAUGGGCCCGCGUUGGAUUAGCUAGUUGGUAGGGUAAAAGCCUACCAAGGCGACGAUCCAUAGCUGGUCUGAGAGGAGGAUCAGCCACACUGGGACUGAGACACGGCCCAGACUCCUACGGGAGGCAGCAGUGGGGAAUAUUGUACGAUGGGCGAAAGCCUGAUCCAGCAAUGCCGCGUGAGUGAUGAAGGCCUUAGGGUUGUAAAGCUCUUUUACCCGAGAUGAUAAUGACAGUACCGGGAGAAUAAGCUCCGGCUAACUCCGUG
rnacentral:rRNA from 1 species